UACGUAUGGAGCAAGCGUUAUCCGGAUUUACUGGGUGUAAAGGGAGCGUAGGCGGCAUACCAAGCCUGAUGUGAAAACCCGGGGCCCAACCCCGGGAGUGCAUUGGGAACUGGCAAGCUAGAGUGUCGGAGAGGCAGGCGGAAUUCCUAGUGUAGCGGUGAAAUGCGUAGAUAUUAGGAGGAACACCAGUGGCGAAGGCGGCCUGCUGGACGAUGACCGACGCUGAGGCUCGAAAGCGUGGGGAGCAAACAGG
rnacentral:rRNA from 1 species